CUCUUGUAACUAAUAGUGGAAGAAAUUGUCAUGAUUUUGAAGUACCUCAGGGCUAAAUUUGGUGCGGCAUUGUCUAUACAAGAAAUUGUACACAAACAAUGCAGGGACAAAUUCCACGAAUAUCCCAAUUAGAAGAAAACUCAUCUAUACAACAACUGAAGUUAAUUCUGAACUAAGCGAAUUUGCACCACAAAAUGUAAAUUAGUCCAUACUA
rnacentral:lncRNA from 1 species